rnacentral:lncRNA from 1 species
GGAGAUGCUGAGGCAUCUACAGGGUUGUUGAAUGAGCCACAGGGCUUCAGAGCCACGCCGACAUGGAGCCUGAGCCUUAGUAGGUCUAUGUUCCUGUGUCUCUCAUCUCUCUCCUUGUCACUUACAGAGACUUACCAGAGACUCAUGGCUGAAAUUCUAUCUUAAGACACUGGGCAAAGAACAAGCCAAACCUAAAGGAGGAAGAGGAGGGAAACAGUAAGAUUCUGUCAGAAAAUAAUGAAACCAAAGAGAAAGAGGGAAAAGAAAUCCAAAAUUGGCUAUUUGAAACCAUCAACAAAGCUGACAAAAUGUUAAUGACAAAAAAGUUAAAUGGGAAAAAAAAAAGAAAAGAAAAACAAAAUAGAGAAAACUUAAAAAUAGUAGAACCAGGAAUAAGAGAGGGGACAUUACUACCAGGUGGUUUGGUUUUUUUGUUUUAUUUUAUUUUUUCAGAAAUGAAGAGAAUUACAAAAGAGUAGAACAAUAAAUUAGAUAAGCUAGGUCAAAAGAUGGGGAAAGUUUUAGGAAGAUGGGAAUUACCAAAACGGAUCAAAAGUAAGAGGAAACCUCAGUGGGCUUAUAACAAGUAAGAGAUUCUUAUCACCUCCAAUCAAAUCUAUCUCCCACCCCCCAAGAAAAGCCCAGACCCGAAUGGCUUCACUGUGGUAAUCAACAGACACAUGAAGAAGUGCCGCUCCUUCCCAGACUGUCCUAAAACGGAAAAGGAAGCCAGCACCAACCAAAACUGGAGAGGAAAUUUCCCCAACUCACUUCCAGGAGUUAGGCUUAACAUUAGAUAUAUCACCUGGAAAGAAAAGUGAAUCAACAUUUCAUAUGAAAAUAGAAAAAAAAAAAUCCUUAAGGAAACCAGAAAAUUGAUGGGCCAACAAGAUGGCUCAGCAGGUAAAGGUGCUUGCCAUGCAAGCUUGAUGGCCUGAGUUCAAUCCCUGGAACCUACGUAAAAAUGCAAAGGAGAGAGCUAACUCUGCAGAGUUAGUCUUUUGACCUCCACACAUGUGCCCCAGCAUGAAUGCAUGCCCACACAGUAACAACAACAACAACAGCUAAUAAUAAUAAUACCUUUAAAACCUAGCAAACUGCAUCCAGUGACACUGAAAAAUAGUAAGCACACAAAAAUCUGUGGUAUGCGAGGAUGGUUAAUAUCUAAAAAGAUUAACCUCCUGAAACAAAGUAUACAGUCAUCAUAUUUAACCAAAUCUGGUAACUUUUCAAGAUUGAAAAGACCAAAAACCUGAGAAAGCAGGGACCACCAGCCUCAUCUGAUAACAGGCAGCUCAAAACCCCAUGGCUGACAUCAGACCCACAGAGGCCUCUCCCCUGAGCACUACAUAGGGAAAGUGGCUCCUCCUCCCAUGCUUCCCUGGGGCAUCUAAGACAGUAGCCCUGCUUUAAAUAUGGGCUGGGAGGGCUGGGAAUGCAAAGAUGGUCGGCUCUGGGGUGUAGAAUUUUGAUGGGUAAUUUCCAUUCUGAUUUUUGGAUUUUUUUUUCUGUAUUUCUAACAUUUUGCCAAAGGACCACUAAAAAGGGAGGCUUGGGGAAGCAUUGUAGGAGAGCCGGUCUGAAGGAUGUUGGGAUCAGAGCGAAAGGGGAUGUGUGCUCCACUAGGGUCUGGAUGGAAUCAGAAGGCCAGGUGAGGAUGAAGGGAGGGCUGGAGGCAGUGAUGGGCUUGUGUGCCUUAUGGGGUAUUGGGCAGACCUUCCUUUGAGGCUUUCGGUGGAAGCAAAUGCAGACAGAAAAGCAGAGAUUUUACUACCAAGACCUCAGUAGAGCCAACAUCCAGAGCAUGUGCUGGAUAAAGCCAAACCAGGAGGCAGAGCGGCAGGAGAGAAUGUUACUAGGAACCAGGGAGCUAUCCAAACAUGGCACCCUGUGGGCCAGCAGCUGGCCUGGCACGUCCGCAGUGUCCUUAGCUACAAAGCAGGCAGUGUGGGCAAGACUGAUAGGGUGGCUGGUCACAGCAUCCUUUGGGUGACUCUUCCCAAGUGAUUUAGGGCCUCUCAGAAGACAGUGAGGUGCUGAGUGUCAAUGGGUCCCUGAACAGCAGGACAUGAAUGGAGGAGAUGCCCAGGUAGCUGUAGCCUCCAUCUGUAUACCGGCCACCCACCCUCAAUCCAUCCCUCAGGCCAUUUGUCCAUCUGAGACAGAUAAACCAACCUAAGUCUCCCCGAGGGUGUUUGCACUAUGAAAUACCAUCAAACUCCGUCAAUGUUAGCCAUUAGCCUCUGCGAUAAGCAUCCCUUUAAUAUCUAUGUGUUCUUUAAGCUGAGAUGUUGGCAGCUGAAACAGUUUCGACUCCAUCAUUGGUGACCCUUAUCUGAUGGCCAGAUGCCUCAACUGGAACGCCAUCAGCAGAUAGUAGUGAGCCAGUUGGAUGGCUGUGACAGCAGCUGGCUGGUCAGAAUGCUUUUCAGCUCUCUGCCUCUCUUACCUUCUUUCUGCAUCCGCCAUUCUUGGCUGUCUUUGUUGCCUCUGUCUCUGCUCCUGUUAUUUCUGACCCAGCUGCUCUCUGGGACUCUUCAGGCAUCUGCUCACUGCUGCUGCUUCUGCUACUACCACUUGACAUGAGGAAGCCACAUGGCGACCAUGGCUGCUGCUGCCUCAGUACAGCCCUGGCUCUGGAAGCCAGUGUCUAGCCACGACUGUUUUAGACACUUUACACUGGACAUUUCCUCCAGCACAAGCCUCAGUGAACUCCAGCAGCCGUUUUAAUGUUAGCCAGAGGUGGAUGGGUGCGCAUGUUUGUCACCAACAAAUGCAUCAGGUUCUAACAGAGAUUUCUUGACCAUCCACUAUAAGACACACCUUGUGCUUGGGACUUGGGGAUGUAGAAACCUUAAAGGCCUUCCAAGAGCCCUCAGCCAAGAGAAAGGCAGAUAUAGAUAACCAGUGGUGUCCAUGCUGGGAUCUGAGCUCUAAGCUAGGCACCCUGAUCUGGGAUCUCAGGAUACCCUGAGAGGCUGUAGAGUAUCACAGAGGAGGGUGCUUGGCAGUCUCUCACUCAUACCCUGCCUGCCUAUCUGGUGCAGUGCUCACCAGUGGUAAGCAUGGCCAAGCUGUCUGUACUGAGAUAACAACUUCAGAGACCUCCACGGUUUAUGUCAGAGAGGUUCAGAAGCCAUGUAUUCCUUGAAAAAAAUGUCUUUCUUGGGCUC